rnacentral:rRNA from 1 species
UCCUACGGGGGGCAGCAGUGGGGAAUAUUGCACAAUGGGGGGAACCCUGAUGCAGCGACGCCGCGUGGGUGAAGAAGCGCCUCGGUGCGUAAAGCCCUGUCAGCAGGGAAGAAAAUGACGGUACCUGAAGAAGAAGCCCCGGCUAACUACGUGCCAGCAGCCGCGGUAAUACGUAGGGGGCAAGCGUUAUCCGGAUUUACUGGGUGUAAAGGGGGCGCAGACGGCGAUGCAAGCCAGGAGUGAAAGCCCGGGGCCCAACCCCGGGACUGCUCUUGGAACUGCGUGGCUGGAGUGCAGGAGGGGCA